rnacentral:rRNA from 1 species
GAGUUUGAUCAUGGCUCAGAACGUACGCUGGCGGCACGCCUAACACAUGCAAGUCGAACGCAGUAGCAAUACUGAGUGGCAAACGGGUGAGUAUAAUGUGGGAAUCUGCCUUUUGGUUUGGAAUAACACGGGGAAACUUGUGCUAAUACCGAAUAAGCCCUUACGGGGAAAGUUUUAAUGCCGAAAGAUGAGCCUGCACUUGAUUAGCUAGUUGGUAAGGUAAAAGCUUACCAAGGCAACGAUCAAUAGCUGUUCUUAGAGGAAGACCAGCCACAUUGGGACUGAGACACGGCCCAAACUCCUACGGGAGGCAGCAGUGGGGAAUCUUGCACAAUGGAGGAAACUCUGAUGCAGCGAUGCCGCGUGAGUGAAGAAGGCCCUUGGGUUGUAAAGCUCUUUCGUCGGGGAAGAAAAUGACUGUACCCGAAUAAGAAGGUCCGGCUAACUUCGUGCCAGCAGCCGCGGUAAUACGAAGGGACCUAGCGUAGUUCGGAAUUACUGGGCUUAAAGAGUUCGUAGGUGGUUGAAAAAGUUAGUGGUGAAAUCCCAGAGCUUAACUCUGGAACUGCCAUUAAAACUUUUCAGCUAGAGUAUGAUAGAGGAAAGCAGAAUUUCUAGUGUAGAGGUGAAAUUCGUAGAUAUUAGAAAGAAUACCAAUUGCGAAAGGCAGCUUUCUGGAUCAUUACUGACACUGAGGAACGAAAGCAUGGGUAGCGAAGAGGAUUAGAUACCCUCGUAGUCCAUGCCGUAAACGAUGUGUG